rnacentral:rRNA from 1 species
UACGUAGGGUGCAAGCGUUAAUCGGAAUUACUGGGCGUAAAGCGUGCGCAGGCGGUUAUGCAAGACAGAUGUGAAAUCCCCGGGCUUAACCUGGGAACCGCAUUUGUGACUGCAUAGCUGGAGUACGGCAGAGGGGGAUGGAAUUCCGCGUGUAGCAGUGAAAUGCGUAGAUAUGCGGAGGAACACCGAUGGCGAAGGCAGUCCCCUGGGCCUGUACUGACGCUCAUGCACGGAAGCGUGGGGAGCAAACAGG